rnacentral:rRNA from 1 species
UACGAAGGGGGCUAGCGUUGCUCGGAAUCACUGGGCGUAAAGGGUGCGUAGGCGGGUUUUUAAGUCAGGGGUGAAAUCCUGGAGCUCAACUCCAGAACUGCCUUUGAUACUGAAGAUCUUGAGUUCGGGAGAGGUGAGUGGAACUGCGAGUGUAGAGGUGAAAUUCGUAGAUAUUCGCAAGAACACCAGUGGCGAAGGCGGCUCACUGGACACAUAUUGACGCUGAGGUGCGAAAGCGUGGGGAGCAAACAGG